rnacentral:rRNA from 1 species
UUCAAUAAGCGGAGGAAAAGAAACUAACAAGGAUUCCCCUAGUAACUGCGAGUGAAGCGGGAAAAGCUCAAAUUUAAAAUCUGGCGGUCGCUAUGGCCGUCCGAGUUGUAAUCUGGAGAAGUGUUUUCCGCGUCGGACCGUGUACAAGUCUUCUGGAACGGAGCGUCAUAGAGGGUGAGAAUCCCGUCUCUGACACGGACUGCCGAUGCUUUAUGUGAUACGCUCUCGAAGAGUCGAGUUGUUUGGGAAUGCAGCUCAAAAUGGGUGGUAAAUUCCAUCUAAAGCUAAAUAUUGGCGAGAGACCGAUAGCGAACAAGUACCGUGAGGGAAAGAUGAAAAGCACUUUGGAAAGAGAGUUAAACAGUACGUGAAAUUGUUGAAAGGGAAACGUUUGAAGUCAGUCGCGUCGGCCGGGACUCAACCUUGCUAUCUUGCUCGGUGCACUUCUCGGUUGACGGGUCAGCAUCAAUUUUGACCGUCGGAUAAAGGCCGAGGGAACGUGGCAUCCUCCGGGGUGUGUUAUAGCCCUCGGUUCGCAUACGACGAUUGGGAUUGAGGAACUCAGCACGCCUUUAUUGGUCGGGGUAUCUACCCACGUUAACGUGCUUAGGAUGCUGGCAUAAUGGCUUUAAGCGACC